rnacentral:rRNA from 1 species
CUGACGGCGCUUACCAUGCAGUCGAGCGGAGAUAAGGUGCUUGCACCUUAUCUUAGCGGCGGACGGGUGAGUAAUGCUUAGGAAUCUGCCUAUUAGUGGGGGACAACAUUUCGAAAGGAAUGCUAAUACCGCAUACGCCCUACGGGGGAAAGCAGGGGAUCUUCGGACCUUGCGCUAAUAGAUGAGCCUAAGUCGGAUUAGCUAGUUGGUGGGGUAAAGGCCUACCAAGGCGACGAUCUGUAGCGGGUCUGAGAGGAUGAUCCGCCACACUGGGACUGAGACACGGCCCAGACUCCUACGGGAGGCAGCAGUGGGGAAUAUUGGACAAUGGGGGGAACCCUGAUCCAGCCAUGCCGCGUGUGUGAAGAAGGCCUUUUGGUUGUAAAGCACUUUAAGCGAGGAGGAGGAGCUCUAGAUUAAUACUCUAGAUGCUUGGACGUUACUCGCAGAAUAAGCACCGGCUAACUCUGUGCCAGCAGCCGCGGUAAUACAGAGGGUGCAAGCGUUAAUCGGAUUUACUGGGCGUAAAGCGUGCGUAGGUGGUCUUUUAAGUCGGAUGUGAAAUCCCUGAGCUUAACUUAGGAAUUGCAUUCGAUACUGGGAGACUAGAGUAUGGGAGAGGAUGGUAGAAUUCCAGGUGUAGCGGUGAAAUGCGUAGAGAUCUGGAGGAAUACCGAUGGCGAAGGCAGCCAUCUGGCCUAAUACUGACACUGAGGUACGAAAGCAUGGGGAGCAAACAGGAUUAGAUACCCUGGUAGUCCAUGCCGUAAACGAUGUCUACUAGCCGUUGGGGUCUUUGAGACUUUAGUGGCGCAGCUAACGCGAUAAGUAGACCGCCUGGGGAGUACGGUCGCAAGACUAAAACUCAAAUGAAUUGACGGGGGCCCGCACAAGCGGUGGAGCAUGUGGUUUAAUUCGAUGCAACGCGAAGAACCUUACCUGGUCUUGA